rfam:Mycobacterium shimoidei strain HMC_M2 PROKKA_contig000032, whole genome shotgun sequence.
UCGCCGAAAGGCGAUGAAGCUCGCCUUAACCGCCGCACCUGGCUGAUGGCUUCUACCCGUUG